GAAUACAUGGUCACUUUGGACCAGUGUCUGUCAAGCAGCAUGAACAAGGCAGCUUUGCAGGGGCUGAAAGUGUGCUUUCCUCUUUGCAAGGUCCUAGAACUCGGAAGGGGUAAGAGAGGAUUAGAAGUCUGACCAGUAGGAGAGAAGCUCCACUGAAGGGCCCAGAGUGCAAAGGAAAACCUGGCCACGGACGAUCCAGAAGGCACAGCGCUGGCCGGCCCUGCUCCCCCUCAUCUGGGUGGGGGCCCAGAGGAGCUGUGCCCAGAGCAAAGGUGGUGAGUCCCAGUUCACCGGUCAGAUCAGCCUUCGUCCAGGUUCUUACAGAAUGUAAAAGUGGGACUGCUCAAGGCGCUGCUGACUAAACCCCGAGAAGACCUACCCUGAUGGGCUGCCAAUUGUUUUCUCAGUUAGAGAGGAGCCCCUACAGUAUUUGGGAUUGAGGAAGUUGAAAGUUUCCAAUAAUGGUUACCACACAUGUAUCCAAGGGCGAGGAAAGCGAGCUCAUGUGACAUUUGGCCCUCAUCCACCUCCACAGCUGUCCAGCCCAUUGCACGUGACCUCCCUGCCUGUUUUGGGCCUGCCUUCGGUGUGCUCUCUCACUUGGGGUGUGUGCUCAGCUUCGGGAUCAGCGCUAAAAGUUGGUGAAGCAGACCUUGGACCCAGCUCCUCCGAUGAUGCCGCAGUGUGCGCGGGCCGACCAAUAUCUGCGCAGCAAUCUGUGAUGUGACUUGUGUGCUCACACCCAUCUGAGUGCCAUGGCAGCAAAAGGCAGGGUAAUUCAUUCUGCCUGGGUGACACCUAUGCUGGGCCUGGGGGGUGAGGAGGAGCGGCAGGGGGAAUGUGAGCGGGAAGACGCCGGCGUGCCAGGCGUGGAAAACGGCACACAAAGCUGGGAGCUUUCUCCCACCCCCGCUGGCUGUCUCCCUUUGUCACCAACUGUGGGUGGCAGUGGGUCAAGGAUUGUUGGGCUAGAGGCCAAGGCAGGCAGAGUCAGGCCUCCGGAGGCUGCCAGGCCCAGGGAGCCCGGGUACAUCCGGAGCCUCCUUCCUAGUUCCCUAGUUCACAGCUUCCUCCUGUCAAAGCACCCACUCUGACCUGUCUGCGCCCCCCAGGCCCCCCUCCAGGCUGUCACAGUCCCUGGCAGUCCCUUCCCAGCCCUCUGGCCUCUGCUCCCUCUUUUCCAGUCCCGCAGCUACUACGGUGGUUCAUCUCCCACUUGGUUGGUGGCAACAGCCUCCUCGUCAGUCCAGUGACUCAGGCUUCUCCGUUUCCCCCAUCCUGUGUGUGCUGCCAGGCGAAUCUUUCCGUAACAGUGUUUUGUUGACCUCGUGUACCUGUUCUGAAAUCUUCGUGAGCACAUUUCCGCAGACCUCACCAUCCGCUGUGUACAAACAAGGCCACGUUCAUAUUCAUAACCUAAUUGACUUUGGCUCCCGUCUCUCUGCUUACAUGGGAGCUCGGUCUCUUCCAAAGUGCACCCCAAGUAGUUGUGGGAACCCCCAGGACAGUGCUCUGAGCGUCGAGUCCCGUCUGUGCAUGUUUGCUAACGGUCUGUGAGCAGGCCAGCACACACACCGAGCAGAAGUGUUUGGAGACUUGCGUAGCAAUUUGAUAUGCUGUGAACUCUGGCAUCGGUUUUUCUUUUUUCUUUUAAUUUUACAAAACAAGAAACAACACUGACAAAAACACCUGGUCUUUCACCACCCCCGAUGAUUUGAGGAGCGCUGCCCUAGGGGGUCUCACCCACAAACAAAUCUGGCCCCUCAGUGCAGUCCCUUAUGAGUUCCCUGCUACCCAGUGGCAGCUCUGGAGUUGCUUUUUCAAUCAAUCAACCUGUCAAGGAUUCAAAUCAAUUCCUUC